rnacentral:rRNA from 1 species
GUGAGGAAUAUUGGUCAAUGGGCGGGAGCCUGAACCAGCCAAGUCGCGUGAAGGAAGAAGGAUCUAUGGUUCGUAAACUUCUUUUGCAGGGGAAUAAAGUGCAGGACGUGUCCUGUUUUGUAUGUACCCUGAGAAUAAGGAUCGGCUAACUCCGUGCCAGCAGCCGCGGUAAUACGGAGGAUCCGAGCGUUAUCCGGAUUUAUUGGGUUUAAAGGGUGCGUAGGUGGGUUGAUAAGUCAGCGGUGAAAGUUUGCAGCUUAACUGUAAAAAUGCCGUUGAAACUGUCGGAAUUGAGUGUAAAGGAGGUAGGCGGAAUGCGUGGUGUAGCGGUGAAAUGCAUAGAUAUCACGCAGAACUCCGAUUGCGAAGGCAGCUUACUAAGCUACAACUGACACUGAAGCACGAAAGCGUGGGGAUCAAACAGGAUUAGAAACCCCUGUAGUCC